rnacentral:rRNA from 1 species
AGUUUGAUCCUGGCUCAGAUUGAACGCUGGCGGCAUGCUUUACACAUGCAAGUCGAACGGCAGCACAGGGAGCUUGCUCCCGGGUGGCGAGUGGCGCACGGGUGAGUAAUACAUCGGAACGUGUCCUGUUGUGGGGGAUAACUGCUCGAAAGGGUGGCUAAUACCGCAUGAGACCUGAGGGUGAAAGCGGGGGAUCGCAAGACCUCGCGCAAUUGGAGCGGCCGAUGCCCGAUUAGCUAGUUGGUGAGGUAAAGGCUCACCAAGGCGACGAUCGGUAGCUGGUCUGAGAGGACGACCAGCCACACUGGGACUGAGACACGGCCCAGACUCCUACGGGAGGCAGCAGUGGGGAAUUUUGGACAAUGGGGGCAACCCUGAUCCAGCCAUGCCGCGUGCAGGAUGAAGGCCUUCGGGUUGUAAACUGCUUUUAUCAGGGACGAAAAGGACCGUGUUAAUACCAUGGUCUGCUGACGGUACCUGAAGAAUAAGCACCGGCUAACUACGUGCCAGCAGCCGCGGUUAUUCGGUAGGGGGCAAGCCUUAAUUGGAAUCGAUGGGGGUAAACCUGGGCAGCCGGUUUCGUAGGCAAGAGGUGAAUUCCCGGGGGUCCAACUGGGGAUUCGCAUUCGUGCCUGCCGGACUAGAGUUCAUCAGAGGGGGGGGGAAUUCCAAGUGGAGCAGUGGAUUGCGUAGUUAUUUAGAAGAACACCAACGGCGAAGGCAGUCCCCUGGGAUGCGACUGACGCUCAUGCACCAGAGCGUGGGGAGCAAACAGGAUUAGAUACCCUGAUAGUCCCCGCGCUAAAAGAUGUCUAUAGGUUGUUGGGGUUUUUUAACCCCGGUAACGAAGCUAACGCGUGAAGUAGACCGCCUGGGGAGUACGGUCGCAAGAUUAAAACUCAAAGGAAUUGACGGGGACCCGCACAAGCGGUGGAUGAUGUGGAUUAAUUGGAUGCAACGCGAAAAACCUUACCUAGCCUUGACUCGCCAGGAAUCCUGAAGAGCUUCGGGAGUGCCCGCAAGGGAAUCUAGACACAGGUGUGGCAUGGCUGUCGUCAGCUCGUGUCGUGAGAGUGUUGGGUUAAGUCCCGCAACGAGCGCAACCCUUGUCUCUAGUUGCUACGCAAGAGCACUAUAGUGAGACUGCCGGUGACAAACCGGAGGAAGGAGGGGGUGGCGUCGAGUCCUCAUGGCCCUCAUGGUUAGGGCCUCACCCGUCAUACAAUUGGCGGCACAGAGGGCAGAGAACGCCGCGAGGUGGAGCAAAUCCCAGAAAACCGAUCGUAGUCCGGAUUGCAGUCUGCAACUCGACUGCAUGAAGUCGGAAUCGCUCGUCAUCGGGCAUGAGCAUGCGAGCGGUGAAUACGUUCCUCUGGGUCGUGCACCACACAUCCCUCUCAAGGGGGGAAUUUUUCGCGAUAUCUCCUCACACCUGGCGCCGCGCGCGGAGCGCGCGCUAUAGAAGAGGGCCACUCUCCCCCCCCUAUGUUUGUAU